rnacentral:rRNA from 1 species
AAGGUGGCUAUGCUACCGCUUUUGGAUGGGCCCGCGGCGCAUUAGCUAGUUGGUGGGGUAAAGGCUUACCAAGGCAAUGAUGCGUAGCCGAACUGAGAGGUUGAUCGGCCACAUUGGGACUGAGACACGGCCCAAACUCCUACGGGAGGCAGCAGUAGGGAAUCUUCCACAAUGGGCGAAAGCCUGAUGGAGCAACGCCGCGUGGGUGAAGAAGGUCUUCGGAUCGUAAAACCCUGUUGUUAGAGAAGAAAGUGCGUGAGAGUAACUGUUCACGUUUCGACGGUAUCUAACCAGAAAGCCACGGCUAACUACGUGCCAGCAGCCGCGGUAAUACGUAGGUGGCAAGCGUUAUCCGGAUUUAUUGGGCGUAAAGGGAACGCAGGCGGUCUUUUAAGUCUGAUGUGAAAGCCUUCGGCUUAACCGGAGUAGUGCAUUGGAAACUGGGAGACUUGAGUGCAGAAGAGGAGAGUGGAACUCCAUGUGUAGCGGUGAAAUGCGUAGAUAUAUGGAAGAACACCAGUGGCGAAAGCGGCUCUCUGGUCUGUAACUGACGCUGAGGUUCGAAAGCGUGGGUAGCAAACAGGAUUAGAUACCCUGGUAGUCCACGCCGUAAACGAUG